UGGGGGAUAUUGGACAAUGGGGGGAACCCUGAUCCAGCGAUGCCGCGUGUGUGAAGAAGGCCUUAGGGUCGUAAAGCACUUUAGGGAGGGAAGAAGUUUAUAGUACUAAUAGUGUUAUAAAUUGACGGUACCUUCAGAAUAAGCACCGGCUAACUCUGUGCCAGCAGCCGCGGUAAUACAGAGGGUGCGAGCGUUAAUCGGAAUGACUGGGCGUAAAGGGCGCGUAGGUGGCUAAGCAAGUUUAAUGUAAAAGGCCUGGGCUCAACCUGGGUAGGCGUUAAAGACUGCGUGGCUAGAGUGAGGAAGGGGGUCGUGGAAUUUCCGGUGUAGCGGUGAAAUGCGUAGAGAUCGGAAAGAACACCAGUGGCGAAGGCGGCGACCUGGGACUCAACUGACACUGAGGCGCGAAGGCGUGGGGAGCAAACAG
rnacentral:rRNA from 1 species